rnacentral:rRNA from 1 species
UACGGGGGGGGCAAGCGUUGUUCGGAAUUACUGGGCGUAAAGCGCACGUAGGCGGACUACUAAGUCAGGGGUGAAAUCCCGGGGCUCAACCCCGGAACUGCCUUUGAUACUGAUAGUCUCGAGUCCGGAAGAGGUGAGUGGAAUUCCGAGUGUAGAGGUGAAAUUCGUAGAUAUUCGGAGGAACACCAGUGGCGAAGGCGGCUCACUGGUGCGGUACUGACGCUGAGGUGCGAAAGCGUGGGGAGCAAACAGG